rnacentral:lncRNA from 1 species
CCGGAUGCUCUGGAGGGGACACUGAGGAAACACUCAAUAUUUCUCCAGCCUUCAGGCAGAGCAGGCCCUUAUGUAUUCAUUCAACAAAUAUUUUUCCAGCACUCAGUUCGGGCCAAGUACCAUGCUGGGUGCUGAGAUGCAAAAUCCUGAUGCGGGCCGGCUAUGACAUGCCGAAACAUAACUCCAUUUUGCCUCCAGUCACAGCUGAGACCUCAAUGGUCCAGUGAUGCUGUGAUACUCCAGGGCAAGAUUACACCAGCUGAAGACAUCCUGGUUCCUUGAAAACUGAGUAGUAAGAGAAAGAUUUCACCUGGGGAGGACAAAUUCCUUAUCAGCUUAACUCAUCCCACCUACUGUUGUAAGAACAUCUUUGCUCAUCUUACUGUCCUAAUCAACAUAAGCUCCUCAUGGACCUAAGAUCCUCAUCAGUUUAAAAUCCUCAUAGUCAUAGGAUUACUGCUGCCCUCUAAGACAUCUGAUACUCCCUCAGAUUAUAAAAAUCCUUGUCAAUUUAGGAUUAUCACCAC